UACGGGGGGGGCAAGCGUUGUUCGGAAUUACUGGGCGUAAAGGGCGUGUAGGCGGCCAACUAAGUCCGACGUGAAAUCCCCAGGCUUAACCUGGGAACUGCGUCGGAUACUGGAUGGCUUGAAUCCGGGAGAGGGAUGCGGAAUUCCAGGUGUAGCGGUGAAAUGCGUAGAUAUCUGGAGGAACACCGGUGGCGAAGGCGGCGACCUGGGUAGAUACUGACGCUGAGGUGCGAAAGCGUGGGGAGCAAACAGG
rnacentral:rRNA from 1 species